rnacentral:rRNA from 1 species
CNAUGUGUAGCGGUGAAAUGCGUAGAUAUAUGGAGGAACACCGGUGGCGAAAGCGGCUCUCUGGUCUGUAACUGACGCUGAGGCUCGAAAGCGUGGGGAGCGAACAGGAUUAGAUACCCUGGUAGUNCACGCCGUAAACGAUGAGUGCUAGGUGUUAGGCCCUUUCCGGGGCUUAGUGCCGCAGCUAACGCAUUAAGCACUCCGCCUGGGGAGUACGACCGCAAGGUUGAAACUCAAAGGAAUUGACGGGGGCCCGCACAAGCGGUGGAGCAUGUGGUUUAAUUCGAAGCAACGCGAAGAACCUUACCAGGUCUUGACAUCCCGAUGCCCGCUCUAGAGAUAGAGUUUUACUUCGGUACAUCGGUGACAGGUGGUGCAUGGUUGUCGUCAGCUCGUGUCGUGAGAUGUUGGGUUAAGUCCCGCAACGAGCGCAACCCUUAUUGUUAGUUGCCAUCAUUCAGUUGGGCACUCUAGCGAGACUGCCGGUAAUAAACCGGAGGAAGGUGGGGAUGACGUCAAAUCAUCAUGCCCCUUAUGACCUGGGCUACUCACGUGCUACAAUGGCUGGUACAACGAGUCGCAAGUCGGUGACGGCAAGCUAAUCUCUUAAAGCCAGUCUCAGUUCGGAUUGUAGGCUGCAACUCGCCUACAUGAAGUCGGAAUCGCUAGUAAUCGCGGAUCAGCACGCCGCGGUGAAUACGUUCCCGGGCCUUGUACACACCGCCCGUCACACCACGAGAGUUUGUAACACCCGAAGUCGGUGAGGUANCCUUUUAGGAGCCA